AUUGGGGGCAGCACUGAGCAGCCAGGCCAGGAUCCGCGCUGCUGCCUGGAAGCUUCUGCCGGUGCCGGGGACGCAGCAGUGCCGGGGACACAGAGGAGCCGACCUGGGGGUGGCACAGCCCACCGGGGCACAGCCGGAGCAGCACCCAGGUGCUUCUAACCCCGGCAUGGAGGAAGCGCCCGCAUUCUCGGCCCAGGCCUGCAGCCAGGGCUACUCCGCCCGCUGCGCCCCAGGGCAAAAGCCCCGCAAGGCAGUGUGAGCUGGAGCCGCCA
rnacentral:lncRNA from 1 species